rfam:Bacillus anthracis str. 'Ames Ancestor', complete genome.
GAAAAAGUAACGAUAAGGACACGAAAUCAUUUUUACGGUUUACAGAGAGGGAAGUCAAGGGUGUGAGCUUCCUAACACGAGAAAUGAUUUUACCACCUUUGAACUUCAAUAGUGAACGAGCAAUCUAGUAAUUAUUGACGGAAUCAGCCGUUAUCUGAACUUGAGCAAUCUAGGGAGAAAUAUGUCUAGGUUGGAACAAGGGUGGAACCACGAAAACACAUUCGUCCCUUUC